AAACCAUGGUCCACUGACAUGAGCUUACACAUGGCUUUAUCUUUCCUGUUUUGUGUUUAAUCUCAGCAAAAGUUGCGGUGGAAAUGGCAAAACAGAAGCUUGUUGACGCUACUGUUUUAUUACAUCCUUCUAGUGUGAACAAAAGAUUAAAAAAGAGUGAGAGUCAUCAAUCUUGCUGUAAAAGAUGGUGAAUUAAUCUUUUGACGCUAGAGAAAUGGAGUAUGUGUGGUUAGUAUCUUCUGUUUGUUUGAUACAUGGUGAGAUCACAUUUGUUUUGAAAUUGUUUCCUAAUGGUUGGAGUUUGUGGAAACAACGUCAUGAAUAACCAAGUAACAAGUGAUCUCAUUGAGGGUAUUGGAUAGAAAGCUUCGAUUCAUCUUUUGGUGAGAUUCAGCUGUGGUAGGUAUUGGUAAGACACUUUGCUGCUCCAAAUACCUUUUCUAGCUUAUCUUUCCUUCUUUCCUCACGCUUUUAUAUGUAGUCAUUAUCUAGUAGAAGCAUUUGAAAAACUCACUUGCUUUACUUAUACAAAGACAGCCAACGACAAAGAAAAGAACCAAACUGCAGAGAAUAUGGAGAAGGCAGUGAAGUGUGGACAUCAACCUAAGUUCUUGGAGGGAGAGAAAGAGCAAACCAAUGUAAUUCUUCGUUUAGUCCAUCUGAAUUGCAGUACUUAUGAUGUUGUUUAAGACCUUUUUUUAACAAAUGGUGUUCAAUGCUACACUAUGUAACUUUUGAUGAUCUAUGGAAAGA